rnacentral:rRNA from 1 species
CCUACGGGUGACAGCAGUGGGGAAUAUUGCACAAUGGGGGAAACCCUGAUGCAGCGACGCCGCGUGAGUGAAGAAGUAAUUCGUUAUGUAAAGCUCUAUCAGCAGGGAGGAAAGUGACGGUGCCUGAAUAAGAAGCCCCGGCUAACUACGUGCCAGCAGCCGCGGUAAUACGUAGGGGGCAAGCGUUAGCCAGAUUUACUGGGUGUAAAGUGAGCGUAGACGGCAGUGCAAGUCUGGUGUGAAAGGCGGGGGCUCAACCCCCGGACUGCUCUGGAAACUGGACGGCUGGAGUGCAGGAGAGGUAAGUGGAAUUCCGAGUGUAGCGGUGAAAUGCGUAGAUAUUAGGAGGAAUACCAGUGGCGAAGGCGGCUUACUGGACUGUAACUGACGUUGAGGCUCGAAAGCGUGGGGAGCAAACAGGAUUAGAUACCCGAGUAGUC